CUGUAUCGUUAAAAAUAGCCGGGUCGACGUAAGUAUUCGAUUUAAAACAGGAAGUGAAAUGAGAAACGAGUCACCUUUCAGCAUGUUGACGCUUUCUGUUGAAUCGUAUCAAAAGCAGGUAGAUAAACCAUUUGGCCACCCGUGUUCCUUUUGGGCGAUGAUUGAAAAACUGCAACGGAAGUGUUUCCGCACAACUGCAAGAUACUAAAGUAUCUCAGGGAUGCAAUCGAGCGAAUACCAAAUGAGAGAAGGAGAGCGAGAGUGAACAAACAACAGCACAGCAGCAGCUUCUACGCGUUUAGAUAUCUGUCGAUUCAUUAGCAGCCCCAGACAGCGUGAUAUAUUUUAUAAUCGGAUACUAAGCCGCUCGUCGCUCUCAUUGCCACCAAAACAUAUUUGCAGGAGCGUAACACUGCCACAGACUUCGUUUAUUUUUUGUUUUUGUGGUGUACAAUGGAAAAAUUGCUCAAGGCGUGCACAUAAAAAAUGCCGACAUUUGACCACACACAAAAGACAGAGAGCGAAAAAAAAUAAAGAGAGAGGGAGAGGGAGAGAGAGAGAGACUGGCAAACACACAACGAAAAAAGGGGGAAACUGCUGUGAGACUUGAACAACAACAAGAAAGCGGCUUAAAGAGAUGGCCAGACUGGUUUUUGGCUGGAAAUUGCGACUUCGAAGCGUCAACAGUGACCGCCGCAGUAGCCAAAGUCGAAGCUAUAGUAGAAGCCGAAGUCGAAGUCAGCUCUCGACCAGCUGCCCAAGUUGCCAAAGCGAAAACAACAACAACAAAGUUACAGAGCCCGAAGCUCAAAGCUGAAGCCAAGCCCCAGACAGAUGAUAUUCUUGAGUUUUUAAAUUCUUGGUAAAAACAAUUUCAAUUUACUUUGCAACGAUGAAGAAACUACCUAAAAAAGGCAUAUCAGUCAUUGUUCAAGCCAAGCUUAUUUGCUUUUUGGCCACACAAAACUAUGGAGACAUUCUCGUAGUCGUAUUUGUAUUAGUAUUUGUGUGCUCAUCAUGACGUUGAUAAUCACGAUAAUCAUGUUGAUGGUUAGC